rnacentral:lncRNA from 1 species
GUUUCACCCUGAACCUCUCUCAGCAUCCAGAAAUACCCCGUCUAGGUGUUUAAACAACAUUCUUCCUCUCACACUCCUGCCCCAUUCUCAACUCAAGCUUUUCCACAUUUUCUCCUUACCCCUAAACUUCCCCUCCAAGCUUUUCUGGACUUUUUACCUCUGUACUCUGCGGGAGCUGGUACACAGCAGCAGGAAACAUAUUUAGGACAGUGGCACUGGGGCCUCUCUGGAAAAUGGAAUGAGGUUUACCCUGGUGGGAAGAGAAAAAGGGCCUUCCCUCCAAAGGGAACAAGGAACCAAGGACUCCACAAGGAUGCUGGGACCGCCACCCUCCUGGGAGGAUCUGUGAUGACAGCCUCUACUCUUUCUCAGAACAAGACCCCACGUCUGCUCCAGCCUUAGAUUCUCCCAGCACUCUGGGCCUCUGUGUUUCAGUCAUGGCACAAAGUCCACCUAAGGGUCCAGUCUGGUGGUACAGCACACAUUAAAUGGCCAGAACCAUCAUAAGAAAUGUCCAG